UUCGAGUAGUUACAAACAGAAUGACGAAAUUAGUAUACCCCCCAUCUUAUGGUGGAGGGUAUAAAAAACAAAUAUAAUACACUGUCCCGUGUCCAGCCGGUCGAAUACCCCAAGUGCUGCCCAAUUUCCCGGCGCAAGCAGUGGUACUCGCAGACGAGCGUGAUGGGAUUCGUUCUAUGAACCCCGCUAAGCCCAGAAUCAGCGAGCUGAAUCUGGAAAUAAACAGGGUAGUCAACGACCAUAAGCGGAAUUUGUGGCUGGAACACUUGGAGCAAUGUAACUUAGGCACCGGUGUAGGCAAACUGUGGGCCACUGUUGAGACACUCUCGAACCCCGGUAGACGGGAUGACAGGACCUCAAUCACUUUUGGCGAAAUAACCGUGACUGAUCCGAAGAGAUGCACCAGGUUGUUCAACCGUCAAUUUAUUGUGCAUCCCGAGUGAGUGGAUAAUGGGCAGAGUGAUCCCGCUACUGAAGGCUGGAAAAGACCCGAGUUUGUGGGAGUCGUACAGACCGAUCUCCCUUCUCUCACCAGUGGCAAAGACGCUUGAUGCAUUACUCCUCCCGAGCCUCGUAGGAGAAUUUCCAUUCGCCGAGCAUCAACAUGGAUUUCGGAGAUUGCACAGCACAACAACAGCUUAGCAUGCCAUCACCACACACAUUUGCCAUGGCUUCAAUCAACCCAGGCCAUGUGAUAGGACGGUCCUCGUGGCACUGGACCAUCGAAGGCAUUUGACACGGUCAGCCAUUCCAAAUUAUUUGAGGACAUCGCCAACACGUCCCUCCAGCCAGGCCUGAAACGAUGGGUCGCAAAUUAUCUGUGUGGUCGCCAGUCAUUUGUGGAAUUUAGGGAUAAGAAGUCGAAACACCGUAGAGUGAAACAGGGAAUUCCCCAAGGUGGGGUGCUAUCUCCGGCACUGUUUAAUCUCUACCUAUCCUCCAUUCCACCCCCUCCAGACGGCAUAGAGAUCGUAUCAUAUGCGGACGAUUGUACGAUCAUGGCAUCAGGCCCCCCACCCAUUGAUGACAUCUGCGAUAGGUUGAACGUCUACCUCAACGAGCUUGCCUCAUAUUUCGCUGCAAGAUAUCUGAAGAUAUCCGCCACCAAAUCUUCAGCCACACUGUUCACUACAAAUACGCGUGAGGUGAAUACUGAGCUGACUGUGAUGGUCAAUGGAGAAACGAUUCGGACCAUCAAGUGUCCUAAAAUACUUGGCGUCACAUUUGACAGCUCUUACAAAUUCUCCUCACAUACCACAGUAAUUUACGAUAAAGUCAAAAGCAAAAACAAGGUCCUUAAGUCACUUGCUGGCAGCACUUGGGGUGCAGACAAAGAAACCUUGUUGACCACGUACAAAGCAAAGUUAUGCAGCGCCAGUGUGGUCACGUCAAUUUUGUGACACGCAGUGGAAUAAUAUUCAGAUCAGAAUGCCGCACCCCGAACUGCGACGGGCUGUCUCUUCAGUUCUCAUGUGGACCACCUCCAUCAGGAGAAAAAGAUCCUACCAGUGCGAAGACAUAACUACAUGCUGUCCAAGCAAUACCUUUUGGGCCGUUAUCGCAGAAACCAUCCAAACCAUCAUCUUGUGGAUAGAUAUCCACCGCCCAGAAGCCUUAAGGUAGAUCUACACGAUCUAGAGCGUGAGGUUCAGCGCUAAAAGAGAGAACCUCUAGAUCAAGCGGGUCUAAACAACAUUCAUGCAGACACGGUAUCCCGAAUGUAAUAAGGGACCGCACGAUACACGUCACCUGUCUGACUGCCCGGCCAGACCCACUCGACUCAGACCCAGAUCCCUGGGGACGCACCCCGUCUUAGUCGCAGAGUUCCUGGGUCUUGACACUCAACAAAAUCAAGCAGACGAAAGAUAGAACACAAUAAACUGUCCCGUGCCCCCCUUAAGUGCGUGCCAAAAUAACAUAACUAAAUAAUAAGAUAAUUAUGGCUAGCGUGAAAAAUGCGUGUGUGUGUGUGUGUGUGUGUAAAUGAAUGGGCAAAAAUACAUAUGAAAAGCUAUGCUUUUUACAACGUAAAUGCCCGUAAAUAUGGAAAAGAGUGAAAUUAAUUUACCCAUUAUAUGGCCAUUGCCGGCAGUGCCAAAAACAAUAAUAAAAUGCAAAGUAUUAUUUUUUUUCUUCAUAGACUUUUUUUAUUUUCAAUGCAGUACACAUGUGAGAUCAUAUUGCACUAUUGAGCCCCUAUGGGAGCCAGACGUCGUUUUAGUGUAGAAUUGAGGCAACAUGUUUUGGUCAGAAUCGUUGUCGGUAAUUUCGCUAAGGAUGGAAAUAGGAGAAAGAAUAACUUCUGGUGGUGCAUAGCAUAUCUACACAGAAGCUGGAUUUUUGCGGCAUCGUAUAUGGUGGCGUUGGAGAAUCUUUUUGUUGGUGAUGCAAAGUUUUUGUUAACGCAUUUUCUAAGGAUUUUGCGCUCAAAGGUUUCAAGUUCCAUGGCCACCACAGGAGAGAUUGAAAACCAGAUGGAAAAGCCAUAUAGCAGUACAGACCUGAUUGCUACCUUAUAAAGCAAUAAUUUGGUGUUCUGAGGGUAGCGCUUGCAUGUGAAUUAAACUUCAUCAGGUUGGUGAAAUUAAUGCCCAGUUUGCUUUCAGGAACCACAUUCCUUGGACAUUGUCCUGAGGCAUUUCUGAUGCAGAUGACUUUCUAUUUCAUAGCAUUAAUUUUAAUGCCCCAUUUUUUAUAUUGGGUUGCCCAAAAAGUAAUUGCGGAAUUUUCAUAUAGUCGGCGUUGACAAAUUUUUUCACAGCUUAUGACUCUGUAAUUGCAUUCUUUCUUCUGUCAGUUAUCAGCUGUUACUUUUAGCUUGCUUUAGAAAAAAAGUGUAAAAAAAGUAUAUUUGAUUAAAGUUCAUUCUAAGUUUUAUUAAAAAUGCAUUUACUUUCUUUUAAAAAAUCCGCAAUUACUUUUUGGGCAAACCAAUAGUAGUCAUUAAUCAAGCUGAGGUGAGCGGAUGCAUUGGAAAGGAUCAGUCUAGGUUGUUCGGGCUAUUCUGAGCGUAGCGAUGACAAUUCCUGCUAAACCACUGCAGCAUAUUAAAUUUCUUCCUGUAUUUGUAUUCUGGGACGAGAACGGAAAACAUUAUUUGAACAAAAAGCAGAAAUGGUUUUUCAUUUUUUUCUUGAUGUCAUCAACGACUUUUCUUGGAGAAUGCGUACAUCAGACUGAGCUUUGUAAUACUGAUUGUGUGACACGAGAAAGAUUUGCAUAGUUUUUAGCUGUCACCUGUGUGUGUUGGUGACGCUUUUUCGUCGGCGGCAAAUGUUGCGUAUAGCUCUGAAUAUUUUAUGGCCCUGCGCAUGACGCUCAUCUACAUUCGCUGUUUCCAAUAACAGCAUAAGAUGGAUGUGUUUUCCAAACAUAGUCGGGUCACAGGUAAACAUGUAGAUUGGCCCUUAGACAGAGAAAGAUGUGAAAGGCGGAUUUUGCUUUUUAAAUAAGCAUUUGUAUAAUUAACUUGCUGACCCGGGCCCGCUCCGCUGCGCCUUCUUUUACUUUAUAUGGAACAAAAGUUUCCUUGGAAUAUUUAUUUUCGACAAUUAAAGAUAUUUUAGUGAAAUACCAUGCUACGAAAAUAUUGUAGUUUAUCGCUUGACUAACAGUUUAACAGUAUAAGUGCCUUUAUCUGAAUCCCAUAUGAUCUUUAUUGGUCUACGUAUUAAAGUUUGGAUGUAAGGCGUACUCCAUUCUUAAAAUACUUAAUUUCUGACCGAUAUUCUCAUGUUGUCUGAUUUAGUGGUGAUUUAGGGGGGGAGGCGGUCCCCCGCUUUUCUCCCAAAUACCAUUUAUUAUACCCUCCACCAUAGGACUAUACUAAUUUCGUCAUUCUGUUAUACCCUCCACCAUAGGAUGGGGGGUAUACUAAUUUCGUCAUUCCGUUUGUAACUACUCGAAAUAUUCGUCGGAGACCCCAUAAAGUAUAUAUAUUCUUGAUCGUCGUGACAUUUUAUGUCGAUCUAGCCAUGUCCGUCCGUCUGUCCGUCCGUCCGUCUGCCUGUCGAAAGCACGCUAACUUCCGAAGGAGUAAAGCUAGACGCUUGAAAUUUUGCGCAAAUACUUCUUAUUAGUGUAGGUCGGUUGGUAUUGCAAAUGGGCCAUAUCGGUCCAUGUUUUGAUAUAGCUGCCAUAUAAACCGAUCUUGGGUCUUGACUUCUUGAGCCUCUAGA